GGGAUAUUGCACAAUGGGGGAAACCCUGAUGCAGCGACGCCGCGUGAGUGAAGAAGUAUUUCGGUAUGUAAAGCUCUAUCAGCAGGGAAGAUAAUGACGGUACCUGACCAAGAAGCACCGGCUAAAUACGUGCCAGCAGCCGCGGUAAUACGUAUGGUGCAAGCGUUAUCCGGAUUUACUGGGUGUAAAGGGAGCGUAGACGGCAAAGCAAGUCUGAUGUGAAAGCUAUGGGCUCAACCCAUAAACUGCAUUGGAAACUGUUUAGCUAGAGUGUCGGAGAGGUAAGUGGAAUUCCUAGUGUAGCGGUGAAAUGCGUAGAUAUUAGGAGGAACACCGGUGGCGAAGGCGGCUUACUGGACGAUAACUGACGUUGAGGCUCGAAAGCGUGGGGAGCAAACA
rnacentral:rRNA from 1 species